rnacentral:rRNA from 1 species
UACGUAGGGGGCUAGCGUUGUCCGGAUUUAUUGGGCGUAAAGAGCGUGUAGGCGGCCAGGUAGGUCUGCUGUGAAAACUCGAGGCUCAACCUCGAGACGUCGGCGGAAACCAUCUGGCUAGAGUCCGGAAGAGGAGAGUGGAAUUCCUGGUGUAGCGGUGAAAUGCGUAGAUAUCUGGAGGAAUACCGGUGGCGAAGGCGGCAUCCUGGACCAUUACUGACGCUGAGGCGCGAAAGCCAGGGGAGCAAACGGG